rnacentral:rRNA from 1 species
UACGUAGGGUGCGAGCGUUAAUCGGAAUUACUGGGCGUAAAGCGUGCGCAGGCGGUUCGCUGUGUCCGAUGUGAAAGCCCCGGGCUUAACCUGGGAAUGGCAUUGGAAACUGGCGGGCUUGAGUGCGGCAGAGGGGGUGGAAUUCCGCGUGUAGCAGUGAAAUGCGUAGAGAUGCGGAGGAACACCGAUGGCGAAGGCAGCCCCCUGGGUCGACACUGACGCUCAGGCACGAAAGCGUGGGGAGCAAACAGG